UACGGGAGGCAGCAGUGGGGAAUAUUGCACAAUGGGCGAAAGCCUGAUGCAGCUAUGCCGCGUGUAUGAAGAAGGCCUUAGGGUUGUAAAGUACUUUCAUCGGGGAGGAAAAACAAAACUAAUAAUUUUAUUUCUUGACGUUACCCGAAAAAGAAGCACCGGCUAACUCCGUGCCAGCAGCCGCGGUAAUACGGAGGGUGCUAGCGUUAAUCAGAAUUACUGGGCGUAAAGAGCACGUAGGUGGUUUUUUUAAGUCAGAUGUGAAAUCCCUGGGCUUAACCUAGGAACUGCAUUUUGAAACUGAAAUACUAGAGUAUCGUAGAGGGAGGUAGAAUUCUAGGUGUAGCGGUGAAAUGCGUAGAUAUCUGGAGGAAUACCUGUGGCGAAAGCGGCCUCCUAAACGAAUACUGACACUGAGGUGCGAAAGCGUGGGGAGCGAAACAGGGAUUAGAUACC
rnacentral:rRNA from 1 species